rnacentral:lncRNA from 1 species
GUCACACUCAGGGAGAGCAUGGAAGCUCCGCACCCCUUCCCCUAUACCUCGCCUAUCCAUCUCUUCAUCUGUAUCCUUUGUAACAUCCUUUAUGGUAAACCUAAGGGUUUCCCCGAGUUCUGCGAGCCACCCUAGCAAAUUAAUAAAGAGGGGGUCUUUAUCAAUUUAUAGCUGGUUGUCAGAAGUUCCCGAGGCCUGUACUAGUGAGUGAUGUCUGAAGGUCAGGGGUGGUCUUGGGGGACUAAGCCCCCAACCCCUGGGAUCUGACGCUGUCUCCAGGUAGAGAGUGUCAGAACUUAACUGGAGGACCCCCAGUUCAUGCCGGUGUCCAUGUCUGGGCAGUUUGCUCGGUGGUGGGGAGAAAUCCCCACACAUUUGGUCGUAGAAGCCUUCUGUGUUGAUUGUUGUGGCGCGGCGUGAGAACAGAAGAACUGUUGGAGUUUUUUCACCCUCAGAGAGUGUUCUCACUUCUGGCUCCACUUCCUCCCAAGGUGUCUGGGGCACGAGUUCUGCCGGAUGGCAGCGUAACUGGCUUUGGUGUUGAUUUAUGAGUCACCACUGGGGUGAGAUGAGGGAGGCAGACUCAAGUACGUGAUUACAGGGCACCAAGAGACCACCUGCCCAACAGAUCUUCACUCAUUGCCUUACCAAACCUGAAAUUACCUUAGCAAAAGCAAGUAAAUGUGGCCACUCUAGGGCCCCGACCUGGAUUCCUAGCCAGACCAGCCACUGGUGCUCUCUAUCUGAUGCAGCCAGGUUGGUCUCUCUCAACCUCCCCAAACAUGCCCAUGCCUUCCUGCUCCUCUCUACCUGGGCAUGGGCUAUGCCCACCUCCAGGAGGUCCACCAUGAAGGCGUGAGCCCAGUAAUAUGGAAAUGUCUGUUAUCAGGGCCUUUAGGGUAUCCUGUGAUGGUGGGAAGGGGAUGCUAGCACGGGGCCAGGAACAGCAGGAGGUUUGAGGCUGCAUUGGAGAAGGACAGAGCUGGGCUCUUGAAUCCUAAGGCUUUCAUCUCAGGCAUGAAUCUGGUGACAUCAGGACAUUCUCCAGAGCCCAUUGGUACAGGCAGAUUAGGGCAGGUUUGAGAGAUUCUAGAAUCAGGUAGAUAGUACAUUUUGGCAUGUCUAGAUAAUUGAGCUUAGAAAUCAAGCAAUCCAGCCCCUCACUUUACAGUUAAGGAAAUGGAGGUUCAGAGAGAUUCUGAGCUCUUCCCCAUCUUACAUCUGGAAGAGGCCAGGCCAGGGCUCAGAUCCAGGGCCUUUCAUGAAGCAGCCAGGGCCACAUGCCUGGAUCACAGCUGGAAAGCUAUGCCCUAGCAGGGCUGCUGUUUGCAGCUGUUCAGGCCUUGCCUUGCUUUUUAUAGACUGAAGUAUGAGCAACACUGCCUGGGGGUGAGCAGUGCACACACUGCACCACUGUCCGGGGAGGCUCUGAGUCAGAGUCAAAGCAAAGGCCUGAGAGCUCCCAUCAGAGAGGUCCCAUCUCUUGGGCUGGGCUGGGUAUGUGGUGAAAAUGGAGGCAGGAGGGUGACUCGGAACCUGGACAGCAGUGAUGGGUCCCCAUCCAUGGACACUGGAAUUUAGGGUGGAAGACUGGCAUUUGGAAAGGCAGGCUGACUUCGCUGGACUGACAGCUGGACAGAGAGCUGGCUCGGCCUUCCUUGGUGUGGGAACUGCCUGGGAGACUCAGCAUAAAGGAGCAGAGGUGGAUCGCUCCUGCAGGCAUGUGGUUCCCAAAACAGAAAAGGGGACAGAAUAGUCACUGUGGGCCAAGGAGAACAAGGAGACAGCUGUAUAAAUGGAGGACAAGGAUAACAACGUAUUUGACAGAAUAACGGAUGGGAGAGACAGAAACACACAGUCAUGAAGAGGAGAGGUACUGGGCCACAUUCGUCUAUCUGCUAGAGGAAAAAAUGUCUGUUUAGGGACCAGACUGUAAGUAUCAAAAAGGGAAGAAAUUGCUGUAGAUCGGGUGGCCACACAUACCAGUUUCCUGGGUCAAUCCUCACGUGUACCUGCUGUGUCAGUAUUCAGUGGAGUUGGUGCCCUGUUUGACUUUCCAAAGUGUCUUGGUGAAGACAACAAAUUGUGCUGUCACCCUUCCUAUGAAACAUCUUCCUGGAGAGUGUGGUCCAAACUCCAGGUGAAGGCAAUGACCUUAAACAGUAAGAGGGGCAUCUUGUCUUCCAAUAUAUGAAAGAAAAAAAAUGGCAGAAGUGAUGCUGAAGUCUUCAGUAUAGGAUGCCCAAGACUCCACAGUCAGCUUUAGCUCCUUGUUCAGUGGGAAGAGAACAGGCUGAGGCAUGCCCUACCUGUAACAUUCUUCAAAACAUGUCAGGAGCUUCCACAGUGUAAAACUUCCACCCUUUCCCAUCGGGGUUUUGGGGAGGCAACUGAAGAAAGAAUGCUAUUGUGCUCUGUGAGCACCUAUCUUGAUAUAGAACAAGGAUCAAAGUUAAUUUUCUGAAAUAGUAAAUGUUAGUCAUUACGCCAGGUAGAUUAAUUCCAAAUCAAGAGACAUAUGACUUGAUAAGAAGGAGGCAAAAGGAAGAAUUAAAGAUAACAGGGACAGACAUGGCUUAUAAUUUAUCCCAGGACUCAAGAGGUGGGAUACCAAAUCUAUUCCUUUUUUUAGCAACUCCUUUAAUGAGAAUGCCCUAGAUCCUGACCCUCUAGCAAUAUUACAGACUAGUUAAUGCAUACAAAUAAAAUGUUUCAAAAAUCAGUGAGGGGAUAUAGCUGGUGUUGUAAGGGGUAGAACUGGAAAAAAACUGGCUCUAUGGUAAUGGAAAUAGAAGCCGCAUGUAAAGUUUGAGGAUAGUAUGUAAGGAAGUGAAGAUUGCGAGGGUACACAACUCUUUCAAGACCAACAGGAAAGAAUGUGAUAGAAAG